AGGUACAAUCACAGAAAAGAGAAGCGCUAGAUAAGCGGCCGUUCUUGAACCAAUCGCGCCUACUCCAGUCCAUCCAUCCGAUGCCUCCGACUACGAUGGGUUCCACCUCCCUCUUCCUCCCCACCGCCGGCGCCGGCGCCGCCGCUGCGGCCACCGCUCGCCGCCAUCCCUUCUUCAGCCACCGAUCCCACUCCCACGUACCCACCACGCGCCUCCGCCGCGAGCCCCGGUUCGUCGCUGUUUCCGCUGCGGCCUCACCGGCCUCGCCCGCGUCGUCGCUCGACGCGCUCAUCUUCGACUGCGACGGCGUCAUACUGGAGUCGGAGAACCUCCACCGGCAGGCCUACAACGACGCGUUCGCGCACUUCGGGGUGCGCUGCCCGCCGGCCUCCGCCGACCCGCUGUACUGGGACGAGGCCUUCUACGAUGAGCUACAGAACCGCAUCGGCGGCGGGAAGCCCAAGAUGCGGUGGUACUUUGGGGAAAAUGGGUGGCCUUCUUCAAAGAUCUUUGAGACACCACCUUCGACUGACUCUGAUAAGGAGAAGUUGGUAGACAUAAUUCAGGUCUGGAAAACAGAGAGAUACAAAGAAAUAAUAAACUCUGGAACUGUGGAGCCCAGACCUGGUGUUUUGCGGCUCAUGGAUGAAGUAAAGGGUGCGGGUAUCAAGCUUGCCGUUUGCUCUGCAGCAACUAAAAGUUCAGUGAUAAUGUGCCUUGAAAACCUUAUUGGACUUGAGCGAUUUAACGGCCUAGAUUGCUUCCUCGCUGGCGAUGAUGUUAAACUAAAGAAGCCUGAUCCAACAAUAUACAUUACAGCAGCAGAGAAAUUAGGCGUAGAAAGCAAGAACUGCCUUGUGGUGGAGGAUAGUGUUAUUGGAUUACAAGCGGCAAAAGGAGCAGGGAUGUCAUGUAUAAUAACAUAUACUGCGUCAACUGCUAGCCAAGAUUUCACGGAUGCAAUUGCUACCUAUCCUGACCUGAGUAACGUGAGGCUUGAGGACCUCAAGCUGUUACUCCAGAAAACUCUUGUUACAGGAUAGUAAAAGGUUUUGUUUUCCUCAAGAAAUACAUUGACAAUUUUUUUUCAUGCACGAUUAGCCAUGGUGUCAUUCCCUGGUGGAGCAGCAGGUGAAUCGAAGCAGACAUCUUGUUGAACAGUUUUUUUAAAUAAUAAUUGUUGAACAGUUGGUGUUGGAUGUAGGAACCCAUGAUUACUCAGAUAUGUCUUGUGAUACUUCAAACCUUGUCCACGUUUGUUGGUUGCAUGCAUAGGAUGAUUAAUGCAAUCAGCAACUGGUCAAUUAGAUAGUAACGAUUGUUGAAACUUUUGUUGUCAGAGUGAAAUACAAUAAUAAAAACAUAUCUUUGUAUUGAAAAAGGAUAAAAUGUUCCUCGUACACAUCAAAAAGUGAUAUAGAACGAACUUAAUA